rnacentral:rRNA from 1 species
GUCCAGACUCCUACGGGAGGCAGCAGUGGGGAAUAUUGCACAAUGGGGGAAACCCUGAUGCAGCGACGCCGCGUGAGUGAAGAAGUAUUUCGGUAUGUAAAGCUCUAUCAGCAGGGAAGAUAAUGACGGUACCUGAGUAAGAAGCCCCGGCUAACUACGUGCCAGCAGCCGCGGUAAUACGUAGGGGGCAAGCGUUAUCCGGAUUUACUGGGUGUAAAGGGAGCGUAGACGGCAUGGCAAGUCUGAAGUGAAAGCCCGGGGCUCAACCGCGGGACUGCUUUGGAAACUGUUAAGCUGGAGUGCAGGAGAGGUAAGUGGAAUUCCUAGUGUAGCGGUGAAAUGCGUAGAUAUUAGGAGGAACACCAGUGGCGAAGGCGGCUUACUGGACUGUAACUGACGUUGAGGCUCGAAAGCGUGGGGAGCAAACAGGAUUAGAUACCCUGGUACG